AGCUUUGUGCUGUGGCUGUAUCGUAGCCAAUGAGUUUUAUCUGAGGUGCGAUUAUUGCUAAUUGAAACUUUCCUGAAUCUUAGUUGGCCUAACUAUGAAACAAAGAGUUUGAAGUUGUUGAUUUUAAAGAGAUUGUUUAGUU